rnacentral:misc_RNA from 1 species
AAGUCGUAACAAGGUUUCCGUAGGUGAACCUGCGGAAGGAUCAUUAAAAGUAAUACGUAUUCCCCUGCGAAUAUACAUUAUAAACCCAUCUGUGUAUCUUACCUGUUGCUUCCGUGAGGCAGUGGCCUUCUGGUCACCUCCGAGCGAUGGCGCAAGCCAUCCGAGGGGAGCACUCACGGGAGGUAUACAUCAAACUCUUGCAUUUUAUGUCAUCUGUCUGAUCUGUUUAUAACAAAUGUUAAAACUUUCAACAACGGAUCUCUUGGUUCUC